rnacentral:rRNA from 1 species
GCUUGGUGACCAUAGCGAGCGUGAACCACCCGAUCCCAUCCCGAACUCGGAAGUGAAACCGCUUAGCGCCGAUGAUAGUGUGGCAGGUUGCCAUGCGAAAGUAGGGAAUUGCCAAGCUC